UACGUAGGGGGCUAGCGUUGUCCGGAAUCAUUGGGCGUAAAGAGCGUGUAGGCGGCCAGAUAAGUCCGCUGUGAAAUCUCGAGGCUCAACUUCGAGCUGUCGGUGGAAACUAUCUGGCUAGAGUCCGGAAGAGGAGAAUGGAAUUCCUGGUGUAGCGGUGAAAUGCGCAGAUAUCAGGAAGAACACCCGUGGCGAAGGCGGCAUCCUGGACCAACACUGACGCUGAGUGAGCGAAAGCCAGGGGAGCAAACGGG
rnacentral:rRNA from 1 species